GUCACUUUGGCGGAGUGGUUAACGCGCUGGCCUGCUAAGCCAGUUCCCUCGGGAGCGUGUGUUCGAAUCACACAGGUGACG
rnacentral:tRNA from 1 species